rnacentral:rRNA from 1 species
UCAAAGAUUUAUCGCUUAGAGAUGGACUCGCGUCCGAUUAGUUAGUUGGUGAGGUAACGGCUCACCAAGACCGCGAUCGGUAGCCGGACUGAGAGGUUGAACGCCCACAGUGGGACUGAGACACGGCCCAGACUCCUACGGGAGGCAGCAGUGGGGGAUAUUGCGCGAUGGGGGAAACCCUGACGCAGCAACGCCGCGUGAAGGAUGAAGGUCUUCGGAUUGUAAACUUCUUUUAUUAAGGACGAAGAAAGUGACGGUACUUAAUGAAUAAGCUCCGGCUAACUACGUGCCAGCAGCCGCGGUAAUACGUAGGGAGCAAGCGUUGUCCGGAUUUACUGGGUGUAAAGGGUGCGUAGGCGGCUUUGCAAGUCAGAUGUGAAAUCUAUGGGCUCAACCCAUAGCCUGCAUUUGAAACUGCAGAGCUUGAGUGAAGUAGAGGCAGGCGGAAUUCCCCGUGUAGCGGUGAAAUGCGUAGAGAUGGGGAGGAACACCAGUGGCGAAGGCGGCCUGCUGGGCUUUAACUGACGCUGAGGCACGAAAGCGUGGGUAGCAAACAGGAUUAGAUACCCUGGUAGUCCACGCUGUAAACGAUGAUAACGAGGUGUGGGGGGUCUGACCCCUUCCGUGCC